AAACAGUGCGCUUGCACAGACUUCCUUACAAUGCUUGCUGGGUAUUGAAGUCUUUUUAAUCCAAGGCAGAUUCGAUUUGCGACUACCACACAUAGUAGGCCAUUGAGAUGCUCUUGGCUGCGGGUUUACACAAGAACUACUACUACCGAAAUGCCCUCCAGGUUGUUUCCGGUCAUUCUGGUAAAAAAAAAGUUUCAAUGGGGGCCUGAGUAAAAGUGUUUGGUGAGGAAAUGGCUGAGUAGCCUAGCAAUAUUAAAUCGACUAUAACCGAUAUCCGAACAAGAGGGCAAUUCAUGAGUCAGGAGAGAAGCACAAUGGAUGCGCGUGAUGAUGCUCUCGAGAUGUUAUCAGUGGGAUGGAGCGGUGAUGUUACACUGGGUAGCAAUUAGCAAGCCUCUUUUUCCUACAAAGAGGCAGAGCAGGCAACAGAUGGCACACAGACAGCAGAGUUGAGGACAGAUAUGCAGGGACAGACUGGCAGAGACAGGGAGUCUCAGGUAAGUUUGUUGAGUCUUUGUUUGGCAACAUUAUGAAAGGUUAUCAAUUUUUUUGACUUGUAAAAUAGGAACAUAAUUGGAAAAUGCCAUGGAUACCCCCACUCUCAACUGGUGACUGAACUAAGAUUUGUUAAAGGCAAUGGUAUUGCUGUUGUGAUUAGUUGUGUAGUUUUGGGUACCGGUAGUUAGGAGUACGACAAACACCUUAUUUCUUUGGUUCCUCAAUAUACAUCUACCAUAUUACAAUGUAGGCUAUGUGUUACAGCACUACUUUUGGUGUCCCCCUCAGGAAUUGCUCUUGAGAAAAUUUCAUCUAAUUGUCCCCUCCAAAGUUGAUAUCAGAUUUUCGCCCCUGGCCAUCAGUACAGUUACCAACAUGAGCAGCAGCUACGUUUGGCUAUAUAUGGACCGUUAGUGCAAUUCCCGCGAGAGAGUAACGCUUAAUUUGAUUGGAUGUUAAUUAUUUGACUAGGCUACCUGUAUUUGACGUGUUAUUUCGCUGAACGCUAGAUGGUUUUAAUUGUAAUUUUGGCAGUGAAACGAGGCUACUCAGGUGAGAAUAAAACCUCACACAAAUAUUUAACCCCAUUGGAAAAUAUAAAUGGAAUGUUUGAAAAUGUGAAAAAAUAAAUAAGAAAAACAUGUAAUUUGGCAUACCUCCGACGGGGUACCCUAGUUUGGGAAUACCUGCUGUAAUCCAACAAAUUGACAAUUAUUUGAAAGAUUUUACAACAUUACAAUUACUCAAUGGAAAACAAAGAGAGCUAGAGAGACUUCAUCAACAGGUGGUUGGGGGUAUCAUCUAUACUACAGUAUCGAGUGGAUGGAACAUGGUGAAAAAUACUCCAUGCAUUUACAGCAGAGACAUUUUUCCAGAAAAAAUGUCAACUAAUUUUAGAGAAUUGUGAUAUUAAUGGAAGACACAAAUUAUUUCAAACAGUUGUUCAAACAGAAGCCAGCCCUAAAAUCUCACAAGUAUUCACAGAAAAGCAUUUUUCUACACCCCCAAUAACAUCUGCUAUAUAUGUGUAUGUGACCAAUAAGAUUUGAUUUUAGAAUUUUUAAAAUUGAAAAUCCCCCACCUGAAACGUAAAGAUGAGCAGCAGCUUUUAGGUGAAGGUUUUAUCAUGGAGGAGGAAUUACUUUAUGCCAUUGAGUCAUUCAAAAUGGGAGAGUCCCUAUGUUUUAGAUGGAAUUCCAAUUGCGGUAUGUAAAACGUUCUUCACAGAAAUUAAGAAACCCUUACUAUUCUUUCUGUGCUGUAAUCCAAUCCAGGACCCAACAGGAGGGAGUAAUUUCCUUAUUAUUAAAGCAAGAUGCAAAUGGUCAAUAUUAAAGACCCAAUUCAACUUAAAUUGGAGACUCCUCACGUUACUUGGUUGUGAUACCCGUAUACUGUCAAUGUAUUUCCUUGAGAGUUAGAAAAGUCAUACAAGAUAUCCACCAUGAUCAAGCAGGUUCCUUGGCAGGGAGAUUCAUACAAGAUAUCCACCAUGAUCAAGCAGGUUUCUUGGCAGGGAGAUGCAUUGAAGAUGGUUUCAGAAGGCUUCUUGAAAUUAUUGAUUAUUAUAUUUUUGUAGGCUACACCGUGG
rnacentral:lncRNA from 1 species